GGACAAAGUGAGACAACAAAGUCUCUCACCAACUAUAUUCUCUAUUUUUUUCAGACGAACCUAGACACCAUUCCAAUGGAUGAGCAGGUCCAAGAACCUCUUUCUGAUCAGGUUUUUAUCAACUACCGCGGAGAUGAGCUGCGCGAAAUCUUUGUCAACCAUCUAGAGCUACAAUUAAGAAACGCAGGGAUCAACGUCUUCAUAGACACUAAAGAGCAGAAAGGGAGAAGACUACAAUAUCUCUUCACAAGGAUCAAGAAGUCAAAAAUCGCGCUUGCUAUCUUCUCCAAGAGGUACUGUGAGUCAAAGUGGUGUUUGGAUGAGCUUGUGACGAUGAAUGAACAGAUGAAGAAAAAGAAACUCGUUGUGAUUCCAGUCUUCUAUAACGUAAGAUCGGACGAUGUGAAAAGAGCAGCCAAUCCCGAUGGAGAAGGCGGUCUUGAUGGAGAGUUUUCCCUUCCUUUUAAGCAACUGAAGCAAAAACAUGCAGGGGAGCCUGAGAGGGUCAAGGGUUGGGAGUGUGCCCUGAGAUCUGUGACAAAAAAGAAUAGGAUUUUCCCGGUCAAAUUACGGACACGAUACCACUUUUGUUUAUGAUAUUGUUAAGGAGGUUAAGAGACAGCUAAACAUACCAACUGAUCAAAGUUGGUCAGCUAUAGGAAUUGCUAUCUCGGCUAUAACCAUCAGCUUUAUCUUUAGUUUCUUCAUUGCCCCUAAGUAUCUCCCUGAUCAGAAGUUUUUCCAGACUCCUGAAUGGUUCAUAGGUUCUCUGGCAGUGGUUCUUGCGUUGUGGUUUUGGAACAAAUAUAACCAGAAAGCACCACCUCCUUCAUAAGUGGCUUUUGUGCAACUUUAUGCUGUUAAUUUGUGUGUGGUUUUAAUGGGGUGUUAAAGAUCA